rnacentral:rRNA from 1 species
GAAACUUAUCAGGAGGAUAGCCCGGGGAAACUCGGAUUAAUACUCCAUAAGAUUUUGAUUGGCAUCGAUUAAAAUUGAAAGAUUUAUUGGAUAAGGAUAGGCAUGCGUCAGAUUAGUUAGUUGGUAGUGUAACGGACUACCAAGGCGAUGAUCUGUAGGGGGCCUGAGAGGGUGAACCCCCACACUGGUACUGAGACACGGACCAGACUCCUACGGGAGGCAGCAGUGAGGAAUAUUGGACAAUGGAGGGAACUCUGAUCCAGCCAUCCCGCGUGCAGGAAGACGGCCCUAUGGGUUGUAAACUGCUUUUGUAUGGGGAUAAAUCUACCUACGUGUAGGUAGUUGAAGGUACCAUACGAAUAAGCAUCGGCUAACUCCGUGCCAGCAGCCGCGGUAAUACGGAGGAUGCAAGCGUUAUCCGGAUUCAUUGGGUUUAAAGGGUCCGUAGGCGGGCUGAUAAGUCAGUGGUGAAAUUUUGUCGCUCAACGAUAAAACUGCCAUUGAUACUGUUAGUCUUGAGUGAUAUUGAAGUAGCUGGAAUGUGUAGUGUAGCGGUGAAAUGCAUAGAUAUUACACAGAACACCGAUUGCGAAGGCAGGUUACUAAGUAUUAACUGACGCUGAAGGACGAAAGCGUGGGGAGCGAACAGGAUUAGAUACCCUGGUAGUCCACGCAGUAAACGAUGCUAACUCGUUUUCGGGGAGUGAUCUUCGAACCCCAAACCCAAAAA